UACGGGGGGGGCAAGCGUUGUUCGGAAUUACUGGGCGUAAAGGGUGCGUAGGCGGGUCUUUAAGUCAGGGGUGAAAUCCUGGAGCUCAACUCCAGAACUGCCUUUGAUACUGAGGAUCUUGAGUAUGGGAGAGGUGAGUGGAACUGCGAGUGUAGAGGUGAAAUUCGUAGAUAUUCGCAAGAACACCAGUGGCGAAGGCGGCUCACUGGCCCAUUACUGACGCUGAGGCACGAAAGCGUGGGGAGCAAACAGG
rnacentral:rRNA from 1 species